ensembl:lncRNA
GCAGCCCAAAAUGUAUUGUAUGUUAUUUCAUUCAGUGUCCAAUAAAGACAAGCUGACAGGGCAGGUCAGCGUGAGAGCCUUGUGCUACAGGUCGAUGAGGAAGAGCGAGGCAUCACACAGUUUGAGUGUAGGCAGGAUGCUGUGUUCAUCCCUGUUCAGUGGGGUUUGUUCGGUUGAGCAGUAGCCAAGUGUAGUCCUCAAGGGCCACCAACUUGAAUGUUUUUCAUGCCUCCCUUUUUUCCGCACACAAUUUAAUUUAGUCAAGGUAAUGAGUACAAGACUACAACUUUUCAAUAUUCAAGAUAUUUAUUGUCGUUUGCAAAGCAGAAGUACAGGUACAGUGGAAUAAUUGUGUGAUUCUUGGAGUCCGCUUUAAAAACAAACACAUAUUUAUUUUAAGAGGGAGAGAAUAUAACAGUAAGCAUUCAGGAUGGUAGGCUUUUUCUAGCACAGUUCAAGUGCUUACCUUCAUAAGAACCAAUUGGUUUUUUACACCCAUGAUGCUGAAGUUAUAAUUUCUAAUGAUUUACCUUUUUCUCUUAGAUCAAGCUUUGUGAUUCAUCCCCAGUGAUGCUAAGUCACCACCGCUGCUCCUGUGUGGCUGGCACUGUUCUGUGCAACAAUUUAGCAGCAUUAUUGUUUCAGACAGCACACUAUUCAUCGUUGAAGCUUCCUGUCGUGCCCCCUGUGCAUAGCUGUACGGAGUCGGAGCAGCAAUGGCACAAGCCGCGAACAAUGGUAAGUUAAACCUUAAUUACAUUUUUUAAUAGUCUUGAUUUAAAGUGACUCCUCCAUCGAACAUUUAUUUUCUCAGGGAGUAAAGCCUGGACCAGUAAAUGCCAUGGUUUUUACCAAACCUGUCCCAAAUCGGAUGGUCCAGACUGGAGUUAGGUAAUUGGCUUUGUUAAAUGUAGUUCCCUGUGUUGCAAAUACAUGUUGCAAUUUGUUAAUUUCUUUGUAGGAGUGGAUUCUACAGAGGCAUGGUUGGAGAAUUGCCAGAUCCCUGCCUACUUCGCGUAGAGGAGGCCUAUGCAAAAUUUAACCUGGAGGACAAGCCUCUUGUUUCUACAAUGAACAUGGGACCUGGCAAGCCCAUGGUAGAAACAGCCUUUGGCCUAAGUCACCUCACUUUAACCUGUAUUGUGACUUGGGCCAGUACGCAACGGUUGCUCUACCGGAUGGUACCGUAACUAAUCCCUGGCACUCGGCUGACAGGUUUGUUUAGUUUCCUCUUUGGGUGCAUUUUAAUAACUGCCCCAACUUCCUAUAAGACGACCUGAUGUGUCUGGAUAUCCAAUGCCCUAAUGUGGUCUCUGUGCUCUUUCUUUUUAGAGUAGUGUUCCUGUCGGGGCUGUAUCAUUGGGAGGCGCUGUUUGGUGGUUUGCUGUGCACUUGCCUGCAGAUAAGUAGGGUGUUACCUGCUCAAUUCAUACAUUUUUACAAUUGUUUAAUAGUAAUUUUGUUCUAGGACCAGCAUUGGUGGAGCUGGAGACGGUCACAUUCUGGCGCUGUCCCAUUUUCCUCUCAUAGAAUAACUAAUGACUUUUUUCAACUAUUUAAAAAUAAACUUUUGUAGACUUUAACUGGCAACACGUCUCUGUAAG